GAUCUCUUCACAAUCUUACAGCGUCGGCUAGGGUUCCAUAACCUAACCAGAAAAGUCACAACUUUCUGUUUCCGAUCACCAUGAGGGCCAAGUGGAAGAAGAAGAGAAUGAGGAGGUUGAAGAGGAAGCGCCGAAAGAUGAGGCAGAGAUCUAAGUAAUCUGUUUGUCGGGAAUAAUAUGGUACCAGUAAUCGUCAGUUUAUGUUUUGUGUUUUCUGUUUGAAGUAUGAUGUUUGAACUUAUCGUAACGUUGUAGGUUUUCUGUUGGAUUGAGUUUUGUGACUUUUAUGUUAUGAAUUUAGCUAAAAUGUUAUGAUCUUGCAUAUUUGGUUUGGUUUUUUCUUGUUUGUGGUUUGUGGGUGUUAUGAAUUUUAUGUUUUUAUCAUUUAGAUCGUGAAUCUAAAUUUUGGAUUUGUGGCAAAGAUUAAUAGGGUAUAUGUUUUCUGUUUAAAUUUGUGUAACCAGUGGUGUCACUGGUCGGCAGUGGCGAAGCUUGAGAUUUCUGACCGGGGGUUGAAAAUGUACACGCCCAAAAAUUUGUAUAAAACGGUGGGUCGAAAACGUAUAUACCCAAAAAUUUCUAUACGAAAACUACAUACUAUCCAUUACUGAGUGAAAAGUUCGGGUGGUCGGCCGUCCCCUCCCGCCCCCACUAUCCUACGCCCUUGCUGGUCGGGUUUCACUUUUUUGUGAUUAGAAUCUUGGCUUCAUCAUAACCGAUGCCGGAUCUCAGGUAGUUUAUGAAUGGCUUUGGUAUAAUUUAUGUUUUUAGCAAUCACACCUUGGUUUUAAAAGCCGCGCCUGAGGUGUGAGGUGCAGCUUCGGGGGCUUUUUCGCUCAGCACCUUGUGUAAUUACAAGAAGUGCCCAAAAGGCGCAGAUUUUUGGUGGCUUUUUGGCCGGAGGUACGUGCAUCAUGUAUCUGAGGCGUUUUUUUUGCAGAAAAAAGUUGUACCUUGGGGUGUUUGUCUUGUACAUGCAAGUAAAAUGGUAUAAAAGCCUUAUUUAUAGCUAUAUUUUGGUUAAAAGAAGCUAAAAACCCAUGGGAUAUAUAAAAAAAAUUAUAUAAACACCAAGUGCCUCUGGUACGAAAAGCCCAUCGCUUUUUACGCUUUGCGCCUCAAUUUUAGAUCUUGUCGGUUUUGUGCGUCUAUCGCUUUUUUAAAACCAAGGAUCACACACGGCCUUUGUUUUUAGGCCUUUGUUUUUAGCGAUUUGAUCUGAAGCUGGUGUUUUAAGUGAAUCGAUCUGAAUUCUGUGUUUUUAUGGGCUGAGUCUGUGUUUAGUGAAUCGACAUUGUGCUUGUAUGUUUAAGAAAUCGACCUUGAGCCUAUGUGUUUAGUGAAACAACCUUGGUUCUGUGUGUCUAGUUAAUCGACCUAGAGCGUGGGUUAUACGCUAAUCGACUUGAGUCUGGGUUACCAGCAAAUCGACUUUGAGCUUGUGUUUUCAAUGAUAUGUUAAUUAAAGUGGAAUGAUUUUAAGGUUGGAUUC
rnacentral:lncRNA from 1 species